UCCUGAAUAUCAGUUUGUGCACAUCAUUCCUUGUCCUGUUACUGAGCACCACUGAGAAAAUCCUGCCUCCAUUGUCUUCACUCCUCCUUCAGAGCUGCUUUCCAGACAGUGAGCCCCCAGCAAGCACUGAUGCCUGAGGUUACUCAUCCCCAGAAGUGAGGUCGGACAUUUUCCUUUGCUAAACAUCAGCCACUUGCUGGCAGCCCGUUUCUCCAGCCUUUUGAGGUCCUUCUGAAUGGCAGAACAACCAUAUGCUGUCUGUAACCAAGCUGUGACAACUAGAUGCAUGCUCUCUGCAAAGUACUUAGGAUUGGACUGAAUUGGCACCUUACAUAUGGUAUGGACAGUAUCAUCAUCCUCUUUUGGGAUUGGAGAAAUGGUCCUUUCACCACCUGGCAGAAUUUCUCCCUGCCAUUAUGCAUCACCAAGGAGAUGAAAAAGUCUGGAUUGUGAGGAAACUAAGAGCAAAAGCAAGAGACAUUUCCUUCCCUUAUCUCGAGGGCUGCUUCCAGAUUACGCAGCUGCAGAGUUCAGUGGUUGUAUUUGCACGUGACGAUCAGCCUCGAUUGUGCUCAGUUUAGGUCAAACUCAAAACUCUGGAAAAGUCUUCCUGAAGUAUUAGAACCUGUAAGAAUAGUGAAUUACUACAUUGAAUUUAAAAUGAAAUUAUUAUGUUCUUUUGAAAACUAAAUUAAUAUAUUCCUUGACAUCUACCUACUGUGUAUUGUGGAAAUAGAGUAAUGCAGCACUAAAACUCAUAAUCCACAUUCAAAGAAACUAAAGUGGGUUUAGGUUUUUUUUUCCUAAACUGCCUGUUGAAUUUUCAAUUAUACAUUAUACAGCGGUAAAGUGGAAUAAUUAUACAUUAUACAGAAGUAAAGUGGAAUUAUUGAUACACCUUUGUAAUUGUAUAGAAAAAUGUCCAUUUAAGAUGUUAUAAUUUCUUUCUUCUGCACACAAUUUUCAUGACUUUCUGUGCUUUCUACACUGUUUAAUAUGUUUCUCCACUGUCCCAUUAGGUGGGAUAUGCCACAAGAUGUGUGUGUCCAUUUGUAGUCCAGCAGGCAAAUUACAAGUCUGGUCUUGUAUACGAGUUGCUUGUAUCACAAUCAAAAGCUGAUCAAGAAUUGGUUUUCAUUCUUAUUAACUUGCAAGCUAUUUUGGAUUGACAAUGGCUACACUGCUGAAUAUUCUUUGGUUUGGAGUUAUGUCCAGCUAACUAUUUUUAAAAGGGUCCUAAAAGGACUCUCACUGGAAACAUUUCUAGAAGACAUUACAUAUUUUUCACUUGGCCAGAUCAGAGCACAUUUUUAUAUCAAUGAAGUCUGUUCAAAAGGCACAAUGCCAUAAUGAUAAUUCACUACAAACAAAAUAAACAAGAUGUAAGAUUGGAGAUCAAAUAUUGGCAGCUAAGUGGCAAGUUUGCAAAGGAUGAGUGAGCUUUCCCUGGGCUCUUCUAUUUUUCAGUAUGCCAAAACAAACAGACGGAUACACAUAAACUGCAUGCAAGGGGUCCUUCUCGUUUUUAUUUUUAUUAUUAAAUGUUUUAAAAUACAUAUGAGGUUAGUAAGUCAAGUAUGGUGGCUCCAUGUAUAAAAGUAAAAUAUGAGUGGAUGUGUUAUUAGAUAAUAUGCAUUAAAUUAGAAAUAGACUGCUCAUCUGUGGUUUAAGCGAUAAAUAAUAUUGACAAAAUAUGGAAAAUCCUUAA